UCAAGAGGUAUGUUAAAGAGGUAUGUUCAAGAGGUAUGUUCAAGAGGUAUGUUAAAGAGGUAUGUUCAAGAGGUAUGUUAAAGAGGUAUGUUCAAGAGGUAUGUUAAAGAGGUAUGUUAAAGAGGUAUGUUCAAGAGGUAUGUUCAAGAGGUAUGUUCAAGAGGUAUGUUCAAGAGGUAUGUUCAAGAGGUAUGUUAAAGAGGUAUGUUAAAGGGGUAUGUUAAAGAUGUAUGUUAAAGAAAGAGGUAUGUUAAAGAGGUAUGUUAAAGAGGUAUGUUCAAGAGGUAUGUUCAAGAGGUAUGUACACGUUUAUUUCAAGUUCUAAACCAAGAAUUUAAUACCUACACCGGUUUACUUUCAAUAACUAUUUGGAGCUACAAACCAAUGAUCGAUCCACAAGGGCGGGCUUGCCAAGAGGACUAUUGCUACUAUAUCGCGUAUUUUGAGGACAAAUCUAAGUGAACCG
rnacentral:sRNA from 1 species